UACAUAUUUCAGUAUACUAUUAUAGUUUUUUUUAAUGUAUUGUUAUUGAUUAUAGUAAUUAAAAGAGCCUAGUAUUUGCAUGCAUCCAUAAAAUGACUAUUGUAUAGGGACCUCUCUGGUUCGGAGCACGAGUGAUGUAGUUGGUGACCUCUGCCCAUUCUCUGAUGAGCUGUGGGCUACAUCAUAACCAAGUGUGCUGUUUUAGAGAGGUUUAAAGUGAUAGGCAGUAUUUGGACUUGAUCAGUUGGGACUGGGGUGACAGGAUGUGGGGUUGCUGAUUAUGUGCAAAGGCAGAAUUGACCUUAAUGCCCCUUUGCUCUUGUGG
rnacentral:lncRNA from 1 species